AUGAAGUGGGAGAAUCACAAACGGGUGCACAGGCUGCUUUGAAUUGGCUGCAGUGAACCUGAAAGGCUAAACUUAACCUUCUUCUAGUAUGCAACUGGGGUUGACCCAUACGGUUGGCUGGUCGCAUGUGGUGAUGCAUCUUUUUGGACCCAAUGCGUAUUUUAGCUUUAAUUUACGAUCACCUGCACCCCACAAAAAUAUAAUAUUAAUACAGCACUUCUAUCAUCAUUUGUUAGCAAUAAUACUAAUUUGAGUGAUGUGUAGAUCGCACUUUUGUGCUCUCAUCACACCCCCCAUAAUAAUAACUCCUUACGACUUGAGUAGGACUUAC
rnacentral:lncRNA from 1 species